AGUGAACGCUGGCGGCGUGCCUAACACAUGCAAGUCGAACGAUGAUGAUGGAGCUUGCUCUAUCUGAUUAGUGGCGCACGGGUGAGUAAUGCAUAGAUAAUGUGCCCCUUAGUUCGGAAUAGCCACUGGAAACGGUGAUUAAUACCGGAUACUCCUUCUUGUCUCAAGGCAAGUCGGGAAAGUUUUUCGCUAAGGGAUCAGUCUAUGUUCCAUCAGGUAGUUGGUGAGGUAAUGGCUCACCAAGCCUAUGACGGAUAUCUGGUUUGAGAGGAUGAUCAGACACACUGGAACUGAGACACGGUCCAGACUCCUACGGGAGGCAGCAGUGAGGAAUAUUGCACAAUGGAGGAAACUCUGAUGCAGCAACGCCGCGUGGAGGAUGACGCAUUUCGGUGUGUAAACUCCUUUUAUUAGGGAAGAUAAUGACGGUACCUAAUGAAUAAGCACCGGCUAACUCCGUGCCAGCAGCCGCGGUAA
rnacentral:rRNA from 1 species